AUCGCAUCAUAAGGAAGUCGGUUGUGUCAGUAGCAGAAAUUGAAGAACUAAAGAAAAAAAGCAACACAAAAACUCGGUUUGGAGUUGGUAGGACCUACGAAGUUAGUUCUAGAGAAAUGUGGUACAGAAGUGGACGACGAUGAGGUGUUGGAAGAAAUUGCUGAUGAAGUCUUACUAUUGUUGGCUGAUGGAGAAACUUAUACACCAUCUGUAGCUCAGCAAAUACCUGACUCUACUCGAAGUUUGGUAACAUGUACUACAGGCGAUGUACUUCAACCCAGCAGGAGUGCAAGUGACAACGAAAAGGCAAGCACAAGUUCAAGUGAGACAGAGGCAUAUGCCAGUCACAAAUCAUGUAACACAUUAUCAUUGCCUCUGCCAGAACUCUCACGGGCAACCCGAGAUGACUUACAACAGGGAGAAAAAUCAAGACGGGUCUGGUUGCAGCUGAUAGAAGAAUCCAAGAACUACUACAUGAAGUGUUGCCGUCUGCUUGAUGAAAACCCUUAAUCUACGGUUACACUAGUCACUGCUACCCCUGGGCCCAGCCUUAGGCCUGGGACGGAGGCCAGCCUUAUGCCUGGGUUUACAUGGCAAGUGGUUACACACAGCCCAGCCCCAGUCCUGGGCACUCUUGAUCUUGAUUUUGAUACUUGGUGCGCCGAUCUAAACAAAGCGCAUCAGACCUCAAGAUGGCUUCUCUAGGAGACUAUAUAUGGCCUCUUGUGGCCACGCAAUGGAUUUUUCAACAGAAGCCAUGUUUAAAACCUUGCCCUGCAGCGUGUGUUUUUUUAUACCAUGUGGGCUUUUCACGGGAAUUUAUGGGCUAAAGGGGAUACUUUUUAGGGUACCUCCUAUCUCAAAGCCCACCCGCUAGGAAACCGUUGCCCCGAGUGAGAAAGCCCAACCUACACUCAGACCGUGGACAGGAUUCGAACUCGUGCGCUUGGAGACCUCUAGGAUCUCAAAGCACGCAUGGUUCCACUGUACCACGGCGGUUUGUUUACAUCUGAGGAUUUCCCAGGUCAAGCGAGGGAUGAUGUUUUCUAAUAAUUUGUGUGCAGCUAAUUAUAACUAAUCAUGCAUGAAAAUAAAUAAAUUGCAUAUAUAGUGAUAUAAUAUCUAGAUAUUUUAUUAUUUAGGAAAAUUUGGGUUUAGUUGUUUGCGUGAAUAAUAUAGUCUCUUAGUUCCUAGUGGUGUGCCCAGGCCUAGAGCUGGGGAGAAAACGGUCUGGCGCGUCCACUCAACUUUGCCCUGGGCUGGGCGAUUUAGCCAGGGCUGGGCGCACGCGCGCACGUGGGGACCAGGGUAAUUCAGAUCUCCCAUAAAAUGCCGGGGCGCCCAUCCUCUUACCAAGGUGCUACCACCACCAGACACACACACACACACACACACACACACACACACACACACACACACACACACACACACAC